AACGAACGCUGGCGGCAUGCCUAACACAUGCAAGUCGAACGAAGCCUUCGGGCUUAGUGGCGCACGGGUGCGUAACGCGUGGGAAUCUGCCCCUUGCUUCGGAAUAACAGUUAGAAAUGACUGCUAAUACCGGGUGAAGUCUUCGGACCAAAGAUUUAUCGGCAAGGGAUGAGCCCGCGUAGGAUUAGGUAGUUGGUGGGGUAAAGGCCUACCAAGCCGACGAUCCUUAGCUGGUCUGAGAGGAUGAUCAGCCACACUGGGACUGAGACACGGCCCAGACUCCUACGGGAGGCAGCAGUGGGGAAUAUUGGACAAUGGACGCAAGUCUGAUCCAGCAAUGCCGCGUGAGUGAUGAAGGCCUUAGGGUUGUAAAGCUCUUUUACCAGGGAUGAUAAUGACAGUACCUGGAGAAUAAGCUCCGGCUAACUCCGUG
rnacentral:rRNA from 1 species